GCACUACUUCGUACAUCUGGCUUCAUAUGGGUACUGGGGAAUCAAACUCUGGCUUUGCAAAGCUGGCUGUUACCUACGUGAGACCUGCAGCAUGUUACGGCCAUCAGCAUUCCACCAGGGAUGGUGAAGGAGGGGAGAGUAGAAAGUCAGCCAAGUACGAGAGGAAGGAGAGAUUCAGUGGAAGGGGGAUGAGGACGGAAGGGAUAUGAGAGGGUUCAAUCGGGGGAGACCUGGACCCUGGAUCAGCUCCUUCUAAAGCGGCAGCUGCCGUGCAUCGUCGGGUCUCCUCUCACACCUCCAGCUGUGCAUCUGGAACGUGGAACUCGGAAGCUAGCUGGUCUCUAAGGCCCUAAAAUGCUAUGGGUUUGAUUCAUAACAGUGAUUCAUAAUGAGUCAACAAGAAAAGGGGCCUGAGUCUGGCCAGAAUCCUGCCAGAGAUGUUGUCUGAAGCUGUCACUGUCACCUCCCUAAAGGGACAGGUCCCUAUCACACCAGCCCCUGUGUCUUUCUUCAUCUCAGGCUGACCCAGCCUCCCACGCCUCUGGUCGCCAGCCCUUUGACAUUCCACCAUGCACAAGCCUUGUUCCCUCACUGUGAGAGCCUUUACUCCCCGCUUCCCUGGAUCUGUUUUCCUCUUGAGAAGUGGCUCAGUUGAAGGACAUUCUGUUUCCAUUCUUGCAAGGUUUUCAUUUCCUCAUGACCCUCAGACCCAACUGCUUCAGCCAAGGACAUCAAGCCCCAUGUAUAGGGACUGCUUGGCGAGGGGAAAGAACAUGUUAUCAUAAAAUGUCAGCCGCCCACCUAUCAUUGCAAAGCUUGCUAGAAGGAUGAAAAAAGAAUUCAAAACCCUCUUUGAAUGAAUCCAGUCACUUUGAGUCAAUCAUCUUGAGAAAAUCAUUAUUGUGGUUAU